GGGACGGGUGAGUAACACGUGGAUAACCUACCUAUAAGACUGGGAUAACUUCGGGAAACCGGAGCUAAUACCGGAUAAUAUAUUGAACCGCAUGGUUCAAUAGUGAAAGACGGUUUUGCUGUCACUUAUAGAUGGAUCCGCGCCGCAUUAGCUAGUUGGUAAGGUAACGGCUUACCAAGGCAACGAUGCGUAGCCGAUCUGAGAGGGUGAUCGGCCACACUGGAACUGAGACACGGUCCAG
rnacentral:rRNA from 1 species